AAAACAGUGAACAAUUUCUUUCCUGACAUUUUUUCUUUUGGUAAUGAGAAGGAGAUCGAAAGUUUGGAGUAAAAGAGGAUGAUGAAGAAGAAGAAGAACUAUUGAAGGGGACUUAUAGAUGGUCAAAGAAGUAAGAGAUAAAACCAUCCUUAGAACACUCAAGAUCGUUUCUUCGUUGUAGAGAGGUUUCUUAUUUUGGUGAGGACAAAUGGUAAGAGGUAGAAGAAGCCGAAAGUUGGCUAUUUUCCUUUGUAAGGUUUUUUAGCAAUUAAUAAUAGAUAUUAUAUGUAUCUCUCAAAUCUAAAAUUUAAGUUAAUUGU
rnacentral:lncRNA from 1 species